rnacentral:rRNA from 1 species
CCCACACACUCUGCAUGACAGAUCCUACAACC